rnacentral:tRNA from 1 species
UCUUAAAUAGCUCAGUUGGUAAAGAACCUGACUGCAAAGCAGAAGACCCUGGUUUGAUUCCUGGGUCAGGAA